rnacentral:rRNA from 1 species
UGGGGAAUUUUGGACAAUGGGCGAAAGCCUGAUCCAGCAAUGCCGCGUGUGUGAAGAAGGCCUUCGGGUUGUAAAGCACUUUUGUCCGGAAAGAAAUCCUUGGCUCUAAUACAGUCGGGGGAUGACGGUACCGGAAGAAUAAGCACCGGCUAACUACGUGCCAGCAGCCGCGGUAAUACGUAGGGUGCAAGCGUUAAUCGGAAUUACUGGGCGUAAAGCGUGCGCAGGCGGUUUGCUAAGACCGAUGUGAAAUCCCCGGGCUCAACCUGGGAACUGCAUUGGUGACUGGCAGGCUAGAGUAUGGCAGAGGGGGGUAGAAUUCCACGUGUAGCAGUGAAAUGCGUAGGAGAUGUGGAGGAAUACCGAUGGCGAAGGCAGCCCCCUGGGCCAAUACUGACGUUCAUGCACGAAAGCGUGGGGGAGCAAACAGGAUUAGAUACCCUGGUAGUCCGCGCCCUAAACGAUGUCAACUAGUUGUUGGGGACUUCAUUUCCUUAGUAACGUAGCU